UGGGCGUAGAGGGCUCGCAGGCGGUUUCUUAAGUCUGAUGUGAAAGCCCCCGGCUCAACCGGGGAGGGUCAUUGGAAACUGGGGAACUUGAGUGCAGAAGAGGAGAGUGGAAUUCCACGUGUAGCGGUGAAAUGCGUAGAGAUGUGGAGGAACACCAGUGGCGAAGGCGACUCUCUGGUCUGUAACUGACGCUGAGGAGCGAAAGCGUGGGGAGCGAACAGGAUUAGAUACCCUGGUAGUCCACGCCGUAAACGAUGAGUGCUAAGUGUUAGGGGGUUUCCGCCCCUUAGUGCUGCAGCUAACGCAUUAAGCACUCCGCCUGGGGAGUACGGUCGCAAGACUGAAACUCAAAGGAAUUGACGGGGGCCCGCACAAGCGGUGGAGCAUGUGGUUUAAUUCGAAGCAACGCGAAGAACCUUACCAGGUCUUGACAUCCUCUGACAAUCCUAGAGAUAGGACGUCCCCUUCGGGGGCAGAGUGACAGGUGGUGCAUGGUUGUCGUCAGCUCGUGUCGUGAGAUGUUGGGUUAAGUCCCGCAACGAGCGCAACCCUUGAUCUUAGUUGCCAGCAUUCAGUUGGGCACUCUAAGGUGACUGCCGGUGACAAACCGGAGGAAGGUGGGGAUGACGUCAAAUCAUCAUGCCCCUUAUGACCUGGGCUACACACGUGCUACAAUGGACAGAACAAAGGGCAGCGAAACCGCGAGGUUAAGCCAAUCCCACAAAUCUGUUCUCAGUUCGGAUCGCAGUCUGCAACUCGACUGC
rnacentral:rRNA from 1 species